UACGUAGGGUGCAAGCGUUGUUCGGAAUUACUGGGCGUAAAGCGCACGUAGGCGGAUAUUUAAGUCAGGGGUGAAAUCCCAGAGCUCAACUCUGGAACUGCCUUUGAUACUGGGUAUCUUGAGUAUGGAAGAGGUAAGUGGAAUUGCGAGUGUAGAGGUGAAAUUCGUAGAUAUUCGCAGGAACACCAGUGGCGAAGGCGGCUUACUGGUCCAUAACUGACGCUGAGGUGCGAAAGCGUGGGGAGCAA
rnacentral:rRNA from 1 species